UACAUUAGAUUAUAUGGCAACGCAACGCGUGAUAUUAGUAAAACAUGAUUCGAUGUGAUUAGCGAUACAAUCCAAGAACAGAUUCAAAGGAACAAUUGCGAUUUUCUGCUCUGGUGUCUGUGCUGUCUUCUCUGUUCAGAGAACAGACUUGAAGGAACGAUUACGAUUUUCUCUCUCGUGCUUUCGCUGUCUUCUCUGUCUUCUCUAUUCAGAGGAGGAUUUGACGGAGCGAUUGCGAUUUUUUACUCUCUGAUGCCUGCGCUAGCUUCUCUAUCUAUUUGAAAGUUCCAUAAUGUAAAAAUUUAUGUUUGUAAUGUUGACAUUUGAAAUGUUUCAUAUUUUAUAAUA